rnacentral:rRNA from 1 species
UACGAAGGGUGCAAGCGUUACUCGGAAUUACUGGGCGUAAAGCGUGCGUAGGUGGUGGGUUAAGUCUGUCGUGAAAGCCCCGGGCUCAACCCGGGAAGUGCACUCGAUACUGCCACGCUAGAGUAUCGGAGAGGUUGGUGGAAUUCUCGGUGUAGAGGUGAAAAUUCGUAGAUAUCGAGAGGAACACCGGUGGCGAAGGCGGCCAACUGGACGAAUACUGACGCUGAGACUCGAAAGCGUGGGGAGCAAACAGG